UCCGGUAUGGUGUAACGGCUAACAUUACCGCCUUUCAUUGUAUUCCAACGACAGGUGCGCGGUAGCUCGGGGUUCGAUUCCCCGUACCGGAA